UUGGUGGGGUAGUGGCCUACCAAGGCGACGACGGGUAGCCGGCCUGAGAGGGCGACCGGCCACACUGGGACUGAGACACGGCCCAGACUCCUACGGGAGGCAGCAGUGGGGAAUAUUGCGCAAUGGGCGAAAGCCUGACGCAGCGACGCCGCGUGAGGGAUGACGGCCUUCGGGUUGUAAACCUCUUUCAGCAGGGACGAAGCGCGAGUGACGGUACCUGCAGAAGAAGCACCGGCUAACUACGUGCCAGCAGCCGCGGUAAUACGUAGGGUGCGAGCGUUGUCCGGAAUUAUUGGGCGUAAAGAGCUCGUAGGCGGUUUGUCGCGUCGACUGUGAAAACCUACAGCUUAACUGUGGGCUUGCAGUCGAUACGGGCAGACUUGAGUUCGGUAGGGGAGACUGGAAUUCCUGGUGUAGCGGUGAAAUGCGCAGAUAUCAGGAGGAACACCGGUGGCGAAGGCGGGUCUCUGGGCCGAUACUGACGCUGAGGAGCGAAAGCGUGGGGAGCGAACAGGAUUAGAUACCCUGGUAGUCCACGCCGUAAACGGUGGGAACUAGGUGUGGGGGGCUUCCACGUCCUCCGUGCCGUAGCUAACGCAUUAAGUUCCCCGCCUGGGGAGUACGG
rnacentral:rRNA from 1 species